UUGUCUUUCGGUUUCUGUUUUUCUUUUUGCUUUUUCUCUUUCCAGUACUUUGUUUUCGGAGUAGGUUCAGAAGAGGCAGGAUUGAAGG
rnacentral:ribozyme from 13 species